rnacentral:rRNA from 1 species
CCCCUAGAUGUUCUGGGCCGCACGCGCGCUACACUGAACAGUUCAACAAGUCUUAACCUUGGCCGAUAGGUCUGGGUAAUCUUUGAACGCUGUUCGUGAUUGGGAUAGACCUUUGCAAUUAUGGGUCUUCAACGAGGAAUUCCUAGUAAACGCAAGUCAUCAGCUUGCAUUGAUUACGUCCCUGCCCUUUGUACACACCGCCCGUCGCACCUACCGAUUGAAUGGUCCGGUGAAAUCUCGGGACCGCGGCUUGGUCGCUUGCGUCCGACUGCUGAAACUUGAUUAAACCAUAUCAUUUAGAGGAAGGUGAAGUCGUAACA